CUGCUGCCUCCCGUAGGAGUUUGGGCCGUGUCUCAGUCCCAAUGUGGCCGUCCACUCUCUCAAGCCGGCUACUGAUCGUUGUCUUGGUAGGCCAUUACCCUGCCAACUAACUAAUCAGACGCGGGCCCAUCCUGUACCACCGGAGUUUUUCCUGCUGUACCAUGCGGUACUGUAGGCUUAUGCGGUAUUAGCAGCCGUUUCCAGCUGUUGUCCCCCUGUACAGGGCAGGUUACCCACGCGUUACUCACCCGUCCGCCACU
rnacentral:rRNA from 1 species